UCAGUCUUCCAAAAAAGAGAGAGAAAUAAAAAGGUGGAGAAAGAAGCGAAAAGCGAGUGAGGUUAGUGUGUUGCGUAAUAAAAGAAAACGAACGGUGGUGAUAGGCUUCAGUCUAGAUCUCAAUCGUCUCCACCUUGCUUUCUUCUCCAGCGUCCGAUUCUCUCACCGAUCUCGCGCCAAAUACAAAUUCGUUACAACCCUACCCAGGGUUCCGGCGAGCAUGGCCGACGGUCCGGCGAGUCCAGGCGGCGGUAGCCACGAGAGCGGCGAGCACAGCCCUCGCUCUAACGUGCGCGAGCAGGACAGGUACCUCCCCAUCGCUAACAUAAGCCGCAUCAUGAAGAAGGCACUACCUGCGAACGGUAAAAUCGCCAAGGACGCCAAAGAGACCGUUCAGGAAUGCGUAUCCGAGUUCAUCAGUUUCAUCACCAGCGAGGCCUCUGAUAAGUGUCAGAGGGAAAAGAGAAAGACUAUUAACGGUGAUGAUUUGCUCUGGGCCAUGGCCACUCUUGGUUUUGAGGAUUAUAUCGAUCCUCUUAAAAUUUACCUCACUAGAUACAGAGAGAUGGAGGGUGAUACGAAGGGUUCAGCCAAGGGCGGAGACUCAUCUUCUAAGAAAGAUGUUCAGCCAAGUCCUAAUGCUCAGCUUGCUCAUCAAGGUUCUUUCUCACAAGGUGUUAGUUACACAAUUUCUCAGUGAAUUCUGGGUGAAUGAAACAAAUUCAUUGAAGUAUCUUAAGCUACAAGGGUACCUGAUCCUUAAAUUGGUCAACAUAUGAUGGUUCCAAUGCAAGGCCCGGAGUAGGUAUCAAGUUUAUUAACCCUCCUGUUGUAACGUAUGUUUUCCACGCCAGUUACCAAGUGCUCACGGCAUAUUGAAUGUCUUUUUAUGUUAUGUGAAUACUGACAUAGGAGAUGGUUCUUGUGUCCUUUUUUUUUAAAAAAAAAAGUAAGGUUUGUAUAUUAUCUUUGGAGUCGAAUUAUUAUUUGAAAGUUAUUAUAUUGUAAAUCCUAGAGCCCUGUUGUCUGAAUCCAUCAGGCGGCUUGGCAAAGACCGAGAUUUUAGGACUGAUUGUAAGCAUAAACCCGAAUAUUCUUUUCCUAAUUUCUUUGUGCAAUAAUGUAUGAAAAAGGCUCGAGCUUCUUUUUAUA